GAGUUUGAUCCUGGCUCAGGACGAACGCUGGCGGCGCGCCUAACACAUGCAAGUCGAACGGAGUAUUUGAGCGGAAGUUUUCGGACGGAAGUUUGGAUACUUAGUGGCGAACGGGUGAGUAACACGUGAGGAACCUGCCUUUCAGUGGGGGACAACAGUUGGAAACGACUGCUAAUACCGCAUAAGACCACAGCACCGCAUGGUGCAGUGAUCAAAGGAGCAAUUCGCUGAAAGAUGGCCUCGCGUCCGAUUAGCUAGUUGGUGAGGUAACGGCCCACCAAGGCCACGAUCGGUAGCCGGACUGAGAGGUCGAUCGGCCACAUUGGGACUGAGACACGGCCCAGACUCCUACGGGAGGCAGCAGUGGGGGAUAUUGCACAAUGGAGGAAACUCUGAUGCAGCGACGCCGCGUGAGGGAAGAAGGUCUUCGGAUUGUAAACCUCUGUCUUCAGGGACGAAACAAAUGACGGUACCUGAGGAGGAAGCCACGGCUAACUACGUGCCAGCAGCCGCGGAAAUACGUAGGUGGCAAGCGUUGUCCGGAAUUACUGGGUGUAAAGGGAGCGCAGGCGGGGAAGCAAGUUGGGAGUGAAAUCUAUGGGCUUAACCCAUAAAUUGCUUUCAAAACUGUUUUUCUUGAGUAGUGCAGAGGUAGGCGGAAUUCCCGGUGUAGCGGUGGAAUGCGUAGAUAUCGGGAGGAACACCAGUGGCGAACGCGGCCUACUGGGCACCAACUGACGCUGAGGCUCGAAAGUAUGGGUAGCAAACAGGAUUAGAUACCCUGGUAGUCCACGC
rnacentral:rRNA from 1 species